rnacentral:lncRNA from 1 species
CUCAUAUAAGUAAUAAUUGUAGUUCAAUGACAGCUUUAGGCAUGUAAACAAUCUAUUUAUUGAGAGGGAAUUAUGAAACAUGGAUGCUCAAUUCACAUAAAAUAUAUCAGUUGACAAAUGAUGUUAAAAUUUGAAAGUAUAGUUUUCCUCAUGAGAGUACUGGUUAGCACAGGCAUAGCGCUAUCUUUGACAUGACUUAAUACUACAUAUUUUAUUUUUUUUUUACAUCAGGCAGAGAGAACAGCCCCAAAUAUCAAACAAAUAAAAUUUAGUAGAUCUGUGGAACUUCAGUGUUGGAAAUGCUGCUCUGGCCCAGCAUUUCAAAUUUGACAUUUUGAAUUUCUUAUAAAAUGUCUUAUCUUGAACUAUACAAGUUGCAGGGGACUUAUAGCCUCCUCAGGUAGAUUGCUUCAUAUUAGAUAGAUAUUGGGCAAAAAUUUCUUUCUUUGUAAUUUAUAUUAGUCACAUUCUAACUUUUAGGGCUGUAUGAAACAGGUUUAGCCUAUUUUUUAUUUACUGGUCUCUUGAUUAUUAGAAAGCAGUUGUAGGAUCUAGUUUGUCACUGCUGCUCUGCCAUUUUCCUGGUUUAAGCCACUAUCAUCUCACACAUAUAUUAUUAAUGGCAUAGCUUCCUAACUAGUCUUCCAGCCUCCAUACCCUUCUUUCCAGUCCAUUGUUCACCCUGCAGCCAGAAUGACUGCACCCCAAGCCCUUCAUCACUUUUGCUUCUCAUUAACAUUGUGUGGGAGGCAUUCAUAUCUGAACAGUCUUCUAUCUACAACUGCUUUCUUAGACUACUUUUUCUUUAAACUUUACCCAGUAAACAUACCAAAAAAUCCAGUUUGUAGAACUCCUUUUGCUCACCUCCAAGCCUUUAUACAUGCUUUCAUUUUCCUGUCUAAAACAAAGUUUCCUUUCUCUUUGGCUUCUGCUUAUCUUUUUACACUGUUGCUUAGGAUCCUAAAGAUGACUUCCUCUGCACGUUUCCACAAACCCUCCAGGUGCUCCUAUAAUACCCACCACCUCUCUAGGUGUAGCCCUUACCAUAGCAUAUUAUAGUGGAUUGUUUGGCUUCUGUGUUUCACUAGACCAAAGCUUU